rnacentral:rRNA from 1 species
GACAGAGGGUGCAAACGUUGUUCGGAAUUACUGGGCGUAAAGCGUGUGUAGGCGGUGAGGUAAGUCGGAUGUGAAAGCCCAGGGCUCAACCCUGGAAGUGCACUCGAUACUGCUUCGCUUGAGUACUGGAGAGGUUGGUGGAAUUCUCGGUGUAGAGGUGAAAUUCGUAGAUAUCGAGAGGAACAUCUGUGGCGAAGGCGGCUCUCUGGGCCUUACCUGACGCUGAGGAGCGAAAGCGUGGGUAGCGAACAGG